AAACCAACAGGGAUUGCCUUAGUAGCGGCGAGUGAAGCGGCAAAAGCUCAAAUUUGAAAUCUGGCUCUCUUCAGAGUCCGAGUUGUAAUUUGAAGAAGGUAUCUUUGGGUCUGGCUCUUGUCUAUGUUUCUUGGAACAGAACGUCACAGAGGGUGAGAAUCCCGUGCGAUGAGAUGAUCCAGGCCUAUGUAAAGUUCCUUCGAAGAGUCGAGUUGUUUGGGAAUGCAGCUCUAAGUGGGUGGUAAAUUCCAUCUAAAGCUAAAUAUUGGCGAGAGACCGAUAGCGAACAAGUACAGUGAUGGAAAGAUGAAAAGAACUUUGAAAAGAGAGUGAAAAAGUACGUGAAAUUGUUGAAAGGGAAGGGCUUGAGAUCAGACUUGGUAUUUUGUAUGUUACUUCUUCGGGGGUGGCCUCUACAGUUUAUCGGGCCAGCAUCAGUUUGGGCGGUAGGAGAAUUGCGUUGGAAUGUGGCACGGCUUCGGUUGUGUGUUAUAGCCUUCGUCGAUACUGCCAGCCUAGACUGAGGACUGCGGUUUAUACCUAGGAUGUUGGCAUAAUGAUCUUAAGUCGCCCGUCUG
rnacentral:rRNA from 1 species